rnacentral:rRNA from 1 species
UGCGUAGGCGGGUUUCUAAGUCAGAGGUGAAAGCCUGGAGCUCAACUCCAGAACUGCCUUUGAUACUGGAAGUCUUGAGUAUGGCAGAGGUGAGUGGAACUGCGAGUGUAGAGGUGAAAUUCGUAGAUAUUCGCAAGAACACCAGUGGCGAAGGCGGCUCACUGGGCCAUUACUGACGCUGAGGCACGAAAAGCGUGGGGGAGCAAACA